rnacentral:rRNA from 1 species
UCCUCCUUUUUCUAUCUUUGUUCUUAUUUACUGGGCGUAAAGCGCACGUAGGCGGAUAUUUAAGUCAGAGGUGAAAUCCCAGGGCUCAACCCUGGAACUGCCUUUGAUACUGGAUAUCUCGAGUAUGGAAGAGGUGAGUGGAAUUCCGAGUGUAGAGGUAAAAUUCGUAGAUAUUCGGAGGAACACCAGUGGCGAAGGCGGCUCACUGGUCCAUUACUGACGCUGAGGUGCGAAAGCGUGGGGAGCAAACA